AGAAACAAUUUGCUGAGAACAGAGUUUCGUUUCGAUUAUUUUAGACGCAGACCGAUGACGUCUGGUUUAUUUUUUGCGGUUUCCAUGUUCCUCGAUCCAGAAUCGACGAUUAAGUAGAGAAAUUGUAUCGGGAACGAUAAAUGUCGACGAUUUCCUUGACUCGUACUACUGUACGAGUCGCACAUGGUCAUAACAAUCCCUCGCGGUUUAGGAGAGCGAAUCGAUUUUUCUGCAAUCUUCUCAACAAGAUCGAUUGACCUUAAGACGAAGGCCAGCUUCGCAUUAGGAUUCACGAUUUGGCUUCUUUUGUUCGCAUGAAAAUUACCAAUUGCCUGACCAAUCCGAUAAAGAGUGCGUGUUUCAAGCCAACAACAGUAAUCAAACGAGACAUUGACAAUAAUUAAGGAGCUAUGGAACGACGAGACACUGGCAUCGAAUUCAGAGCUUUGGAAUGGACGGG